AGUGGUAGCUCAGUGGUUAAGACAUUUGACUUCUGUUUAAAGGGUUGAGAGUUCAACUCUCAGCAUCACUA